rnacentral:rRNA from 1 species
UGGGGAAUUUUGGACAAUGGGCGAAAGCCUGAUCCAGCAAUGCCGCGUGUGUGAAGAAGGCCUUCGGGUUGUAAAGCACUUUUGUCCGGAAAGAAAUCCUUGGCUCUAAUACAGUCGGGGGAUGACGGUACCGGAAGAAUAAGCACCGGCUAACUACGUGCCAGCAGCCGCGGUAAUACGUAGGGUGCAAGCGUUAAUCGGAAUUACUGGGCGUAAAGCGUGCGCAGGCGGUUUGCUAAGACCGAUGUGAAAUCCCCGGGCUCAACCUGGGAACUGCAUUGGUGACUGGCAGGCUAGAGUAUGGCAGAGGGGGGUAGAAUUCCACGUGUAGCAGUGAAAUGCGUAGAGAUGUGGAGGAAUACCGAUGGCGAAGGCAGCCCCCUGGGCCAAUACUGACGCUCAUGCACGAAAGCGUGGGGAGCAAAACAGGAUUAGAUACCCUGGUAGUCCACGCCCUAAACGAUGUCAACUAGUUGUCGGGGAUUCAUUUCCUUAGUAACGUAGCUAACGCGUGAAGUUGACCGCCUGGGGAGUACGGUCGCAAGAUUAAAACUCAAAUGAAUUGACGGGGUCAUA